UCCCUUGUGGUCCAGUGGUAAGACUCUGCUCUUCCAAUGCAGGAGUUGCUGGUUCAAUCCCCAGUCAGGGAA
rnacentral:tRNA from 1 species